rnacentral:rRNA from 1 species
CCUACGGGGGGCAGCAGUGAGGAAUAUUGGUCAAUGGACGAGAGUCUGAACCAGCCAAGUAGCGUGAAGGAUGACUGCCCUAUGGGUUGUAAACUUCUUUUAUAUGGGAAUAAAACGUUCCACGUGUGGGAUUUUGUAUGUACCAUAUGAAUAAGGAUCGGCUAACUCCGUGCCAGCAGCCGCGGUAAUACGGAGGAUCCGAGCGUUAUCCGGAUUUAUUGGGUUUAAAGGGAGCGUAGGUGGAUUGUUAAGUCAGUUGUGAAAGUUUGCGGCUCAACCGUAAAAUUACAGUUGAAACUGGCAGUCUUGAGUACAGUAGAGGUGGGCGGAAUUCGUGGUGUAGCGGUGAAAUGCUUAGAUAUCACGAAGAACUCCUAUUGCGAAGGCAGUUCACUGGACUGCAACUGACACUGAGGCUCGAAAGUGUGGGUAUCAAACAGGAUUAGAUACCCUUGUAGUC